GACGUAGGAGGCGAGCGUUAUCCGGAUUCACUGGGCGUAAAGCGCAUGUAGGCGGAUGUCUAAGUCGUGUGUUAAAGCCCCUGGCUCAACUGGGGGAGGUCAUGCGAGACUGGAUGACUUGAGGGCAACAGAGGCACGUGGAACUCCCGGUGUAGCGGUGGAAUGCGUAGAGAUCGGGAAGAACACCCGUGGCGAAGGCGGCGUGCUGGGUUGCAACUGACGCUGAGAUGCGAAAGUGUGGGGAG
rnacentral:rRNA from 1 species